rnacentral:rRNA from 1 species
UACGUAGGGGGCAAGCGUUGUCCGGAAUCAUUGGGCGUAAAGAGCGUGUAGGCGGCCAGAUAAGUCCGCUGUGAAAACUCGAGGCUCAACCUCGAGACGUCGGUUGAAACCGUAAGGCUAGAGUCCGGAAGAGGAGAGUGGAAUUCCCGGUGUAGCGGUGAAAUGCGCAGAUAUCGGGAAGAACACCCGUGGCGAAGGCGGCUCUCUGGGACGGUACUGACGCUGAGACGCGAAAGCGUGGGGAGCGAACAGG